AGAGGGGCAAGACAAGCAGGGAAUAGCCACAUGUCGGAUUCGAACCCUUGACCUCUGCGUCGAGGUAUAAACCUC